AUGUACCCACACGGCCCUACCGGCGACUACCGACUGUUGCUCUACCUGAAAGCUGAUGCUCAAAGUAGCACCUAUGUCUUCACAUUAGGCUCUGGCCUGCCGCCGAGGCACAUAAGGGGCCCUGACGCCAAGGAAUUGGAAUUGAUAAACUCCCGUGGAUCUCUCCUUUUCCAUGGUAGUUUGCAUUGGCACGCAGACAACCUGAUAAUGGUAUUUGACACCACCGCUGAGUCGUUCCGGCAGAUGCACUCUCCGAUUGUUUCUGGCCAUGUCAUUGCUGGCCUGUUUGAGAUGGGUGACAUGCUUGCCAUGUUCAGCCUUAAUGACGAAGAGACCAUUGUUGAUAUCUGGGUGAUGCGGGACUAUCAAGGCCAAGUCUGGGCCUCCAAAGGCUGGGUUGAAUUUCCCAUUCAAGAGCUCAUGGUGCAAUCUGAAGAUCUUGGUAGCUGCUGGGAAGUGGAGGCCACAUAUUGGGAUGGUGAUCUGCUGGUGCUGGCCAAAUUUGACAACGGCUCGCUACAUCAGGUUGACAUCGCUGGCAAGUUGGUUGACAGUUUCCGUCACAGACUCCUCUGUCCUACCCCACUUCGGCUGAAACAAUCUCUAGUUUCACAUACCUUCUUUCCGGCACUAGAGGGUUAUGUUGUCAAUGCUCCGCCUUUCAUCUGA
rnacentral:rRNA from 1 species